rnacentral:lncRNA from 1 species
AAAUCUGCAUGAAAUGCUUUUGGCUAAAGUAUCUACGGUUUAGAUGUUUAUUUAUAUGUUUGGCUUUAUGAAAAUGGUGGAUCGAAGCCGGAAAAGCUAUGAAAUGUUUUCUAAAAUUAUUUUCAAAGAGAUUUAAUAAAAAAUAAAAGGUUUACGAUUCGAUUUAGCAAAGUUUUUAAGAAAACUUAUAAACCGAAAGGUUUUGCUACUGAGAAAGAUGAUGAACAGUAGUUGUUUUGAAAGAAUAGGGUUUAGUGAGGUUACCAUUAAUUAAUAGUCUAGAUCUGCAAAUAUACAUAAGUUAAGAGGGUUAAAAAUUAGAAAAUAAAGGCAAGUAAUAGCAUAGCGAAAAUCUAACAUAAUUAACGUAAAUAGGGGGCUGCUUUUGAGCGAAGAAUGAAUUAAAUUAUUUUGAUCAAUUAUGUGGUGUGUAUUUAUUCAUACAAAGUUGAAAAUUUUGGAGGAGCAUCGUCUAGCAGAGAAAAAGGCAAGGAGAAGGUCACAUAGUCAACGUGUGGUGAACUAAGGUGAGUACUCUAUAUACUGUACUUGAAAAAGAGAUCGCACUCUACUGGAAGCCAAGUAUGACGUGCGAACCCUAUCUUCAUGUUGUGAAUUAAACAUGUGUGUGUGCGAACCUCUUUUACGCAUUGUGCGAACCCUUAGCAUGAAUUUGUAUUCAUGUGUUUUUACAUGUUAUGCGAAUCGUGAAAAAAAUGUAUAUAUGCAUCCAGGGUUAGGUUAAAUAUAAACAAUAUCUACAGGCAUCUAAAGUCUGUUACAUAAUAUAAAUAUGCAUACUGUUAUAUAUAUUAUAUAGGUGUUUAUGGGACUUAAUUUAUAUAAUAUAUAAUCAUUAUGUAAAAGGGUACUGCUAUAUACAAUGAAUGCAUGCGCAAGUAUUAUUAUAAAUAAUAUAUAUCUUUGCAUUAAAAGGUUUUGUAUUAUCAUAUGUAUAUGCUCUAUGCGAACCUUUAAAAGUGAGCUAUGAACCCUUGUGAUAUGUGAGGUUUACCAUGCCGUUUGUGAACCUGUAAUAUUACCAAAACCCACAUUGCAUGCGAACAUAUGUCAUACGGUAACCCUGUUCUUUUUAUGCUUGAUGUUUUGUAUAUGCGAGCUUAAUGCUUUACGAACUAGAUUAUAACGUGUUGUGGUACUACGAGCUCUGUUAAAAUUGUGAGCCUAAAAUGAUGUGAUCUGUAAAUGUGUAAUACUGUGAUAUGUUGGCAUUGUGAAUAUUUGGAGCCAUUGGAUAUAGUUGGCAUGCCAUACGAUAAUGAGUGCUCACCCAUAUAGUGUGAUAGGGCAUUGUGGCCCAGUGAUUUGAUAGAGAAAUAAGGGAAUUUCGAGCAAUGCUCUAUUCACCGAGGAUCGUAAGCGUGUGUUUUCUGGAGAGUGUGAGCAUUCGUGCUACACUUAUAUGGCGAUUUGAGUGACUCUAUGAAUCCUAAGGUGUGUUUUGGGAGAUCCAUUUAUCCAAUUAGUAUAACAUUUGAUUAUGUUUCCUUUUCACGAGCUUCCAUUGUAUCACUGAACUGGGUUAGUUAUAUAUGAACUGAUCGAAUGCAAAUCACUCGUAUGCGAAACCGUUUAUAUACGAACUGUUAUGUAUGAUCUGUUUGUAUGGGGCUAUUUGGUAUUUGGAUUAUUGAUAUGUUUUCUAGUGUUGUAUACAUGUGUUUUCAUUGAGUUUUCCCAAGCUCAUCUCUUUACUUUCUUUUCCCUUUUAGAUAAGUAGUGCGCAGGAUAGCGAGGAGGGUGGCAGUUCAGUGAUCCAUCGCACAAGCUUUCUUUCUACAGUAUGAAUGUUGAGCUUAUAAAACCCCAAGAAGGC